rnacentral:rRNA from 1 species
AACGAACGCUGGCGGCGCGCCUAAUACAUGCAAGUCGAGCGAGAAGACGUAGCAAUACGUUUGUAAAGCGGCGAACGGGUGAGGAAUACAUGGGUAACCUACCCUCGAGUGGGGAAUAACUAGCCGAAAGGUUAGCUAAUACCGCGUACGCUCCUUGGACUUCGGUUCAGGGAGGAAAGCGAUACCGUGGGUAUCGCGCUCUUGGAUGGGCUCAUGUCCUAUCAGCUUGUUGGUGAGGUAACGGCUCACCAAGGCUUCGACGGGUAGCUGGUCUGAGAGGACGAUCAGCCACACUGGCACUGCGACACGGGCCAGACUCCUACGGGAGGCAGCAGUAAGGAAUAUUGCGCAAUGGGCGAAAGCCUGACGCAGCGACGCCGCGUGGGGGAGUGAAGGUCUUCGGAUUGUAAACCCCUUUCGGGAGGGAAGAUGGAACGAGCAAUCGUUCGGACGGUACC